UGUUGUCUGCUGUCAUUGAGAGCAGACGGAAUUCGGGGUGAUUUGUUUAUGUUUCUGAGUCCACUGCGGAUUUUAUUUAGAGGGUGGUUUAAGUUUACACUCAGGCCGUUGACUUUAUAGAGUAUUUGUACUCUGUAAUUCUUCGAAAUCUGCUGAGACAAUAAUGUCUGCUCACAAUAUUUCUGAUCCUGAAUUGGAUAUAAAAGUCAAGAAAGCAACGGAGAGAAUAUCAGAAAAUAUGCACAUUGUUGCCAAUGAGCCUUCCUUGGCCUUUUAUCGCCUCCAAGAACAUGUUAGGAAAGCGUUACCACCAAUGGUCGAAAAACGAGUGGAAGUCACAAAGCUUCAUCAUGAACUGCAAGGCCGAUGCUACGAUGUCGAAUAUGGCGUUGGGGCUAUAAAAUCUAUGGAAGGUGCUGAGGAAAGUUUUGACAACAUACAGGAAUUGUUAAAAAAUGCAGUUUUCCUCAAGCAGCAAAUAAAAUAUGAAGAAGCCAGAAGAAACAAAAAAGAGCCCUCAUCUGUAUACAAACGCUUAUCGGCACACAUUACUCUUGACCUGCCUGAUCUGCCAGAAAUUUCUGAUGCUUUGCGUGAAACAGCCAACCGUGUGGAAUCCAUGAUGGCUCAUGCCAGGCAUUCAGCUGGUGCAGAGCUGCAGAGGUCUCACACGGUUCACCACUGAUGACAACCGCAUACAGUGUGAGCUGACUGUUUGUUCUGAAGUAUCAUCUUCUUUAUUGGAAGUCAGACUGUCAAAACACCCAGAUGAAAAUCAUGUGAGGAGCCUUGCUUAUCAGUAACACCUCAACAUUGCUCAUUGCUUCGACAGUAUGACACAAUAUUUUUAAUAUUUAUUUUGCUGGUGAAAAAGAAGAAAACCAUCUCGCCACCUCGCAGAAGAAAUAGAUUAUUGAGUACAGACUGUGUGCCUGGGAGUACCAGAGGAAGAGACUGAGAAGAGGUGUUACCAUAAAUGGACUGAGAUCUUCUCAAGCAGUGAGACAAGUGUUUAGCACUAAAGAUAGUAUAUAUUUUAUAAUUUCAUGUAAUUUAUUAUUUCUUUUUCAAAUAAUAUGGAAAUGGACAUAAAAAAUAGAUGAUUUCCAAUUUGAAUCUUUUUGCUAAGCUAUGCUUUGCACAUGUACUCACAGUUUUUACACAAUAAUUUGAUCUGAAACACUCACAUUUACACUUUAUGUUCAUGGAACUAUGUCAUCAACUUUGUGUUGUGCUAUAUUGUAACUUGUGGCGAAUUAUUUGUUUGUACAGUGUUUCUGGCAACUGACUGAAGUCUAAUUUUAGCAGAGUAUCUUAUCUAAUUCUCAUCUACAGUACUCUGGGUGGUUGUUGUAACG